UGGGGAAUAUUGCACAAUGGGGGAAACCCUGAUGCAGCGACGCCGCGUGAGCGAAGAAGGUUUUCGAAUCGUAAAGCUCUGUCCUAUGGGAAGAUAAUGACGGUACCAUAGGAGGAAGCCCCGGCUAACUACGUGCCAGCAGCCGCGGUAAUACGUAGGGGGCUAGCGUUGUCCGGAAUCACUGGGCGUAAAGGGUUCGCAGGCGGAAAUGCAAGUCAGUUGUGAAAGGCAGAGGCUCAACCUCUGUAAGCAAUUGAAACUGUAUUUCUUGAGAUGUGGAGAGGCAAGUGGAAUUCCUAGUGUAGCGGUGAAAUGCGUAGAUAUUAGGAAGAAUACCGGUGGCGAAGGCGACUUGCUGGACACAAACUGACGCUGAGGAACGAAAGCGUGGGUAGCAAACAGG
rnacentral:rRNA from 1 species